AAAUAAGAAGCAAAUUUGCAUUUAAUUUCGACUUAAAAGAUUGAGUAUAAAUACUCCUUAUUUA
rnacentral:tRNA from 1 species